CACUUUGUAAUGGAGUGGUUCAGAUUCGCAAACGUCCGUAAGGAAAGAAAAAAACAUUAAAAAGGAAGUGAUAAAUAUAUUAUCUUACUUGCGUGGCUCCGCGCGAGUGAUUAUUAUAGUAACAAAUUUUUUUAUUUGAAAGAUGAGUUUUAUCCCAAAACCUUCCGCUAGGAUCAGUGAUCUUCACCAAAGACAUUAUUGUGAUAAAUUGUAAUAUAUAUGAUAUAUAUUAUUUUUAUAUAAAUAAAACUUUUUUAUGAUAA